GUCCGGCACAGUAGACGCGUCACAAUACCCAUAAAAUCUAGCGGUAAAACCCGGUAAUGGUCUCAAUCGUUUUUUCCCCAUUCAUUUUUGCGUCUGGGAUUUUAGAACUACUUCAUAUAAGGUCUGUGUUUCGUGUAGGUUUACCCAGGCGUGACGUUUUGAUGGCCAUGUAAUUCUCUAUCGGACAAGGUGAGUAUUGUCAAUAUAGUCACCUCAAUUUACUAUAAAAAUUCAAAAUGCUAAUUACCAACAGAGAAGACCUCAGCAAGACUACAAAUUCCUGCAGGAAUCUUCUGCACAUCUCAAGCUGGCACUGUCAGCUACCAUUCACCAGCACGAUCAGAGACCUUUGUGCCCAUCUAUGAAUAGAGCAUUACAAGGUGGAGAAGAUCACUAGAAGUCUGGCCAUGUGGAGAAGUGCAGCUAUAGUGAGGGGCAAUUUACCAGUUUGGUCAGGGCCAGCAUGAGGGAUAAACGUUUAUCCUGAGUCGGUGAGUGUAGCUAUUAAGUUAAGUUUGAGCAUCUUAGCAAUACAAUGUGUCUUAUACAGCUGUUAACAUUCUAUAAGGAAAGAGCCACUUAAUCAAUUAUAUAAUCAUUAACCAGAUUAUCCGGGAUACCAGACUUCGAUGACUGAUAACUCAGUUCUCGAAUGUUGUCAUUGAUGAGAAUGAAUCUAAAAAUGUUUUGACAUUCAGAAUUGACUUUGUUUAGACAUCCAGUCUGUAUUGUAGUUUCAUGACCAGAGACAAAUCUUUAAAGGCAAAGUCAUUAUUUAUUAGGAGUGGUACAUGCAUUCACACAGCCUUUUUAUAGGAUUGUUUCCACUAUAUAAUUGAUAUGUCAAGUGAUACAAUCCCAAGUUAACAAUUAAAAGAUUAUGGAAAAACUGCACUUAAAGGUAAGAUCUGUUCUGAGCGUGGUACCGGAUAUACGUCAUCAGAUACGUCAUCAGAGCGCGCAACAACAUUGUACUGUCUACACUCGGUUUGUUGUUUAUAUUAAAACAUUUUCAUGAAAUCGAUUUUAAUCCGAACUAAAGUUUUUUGUUGCUAAGGAUUCCACGACGCGGUUAGCCUUUACGGCUGGGACUGCAAGUUCGUGUUCUUUUUUUUGCGUGGAUUCCGCAAGUGCUAGCUGGCUGUACUACAGACACCUGUUGUAGUAGUCGUCGUCGUGGGAAAGACUCAUUGUUAUCUUUUCGUAAAACAACUGGUUGCAGUAAAGAGCCAACCUGGAUACUAAGGAGAUCCUGUGGGAAAACGACGAGUACCAACAGCUUUAUGCUAUGGAGGAACAACAUACUCCAUCAUGGAAAGAUCUGACCACCUCACAACGUAACUUUAACCCGACAAAAAAAAGAAAAACAGAUUCAUCUACAGACACGGACGAUUUACUUACCAUUGAGGUAUGGCUAGUGCUCUGGUUGGAAUUCAUGCAACACUGGAAAAGUUGUGUGAGGAGGUGGCAGGGCUGAGGGGGAGCUUGGAGUUCAGCCAGAGUGAAAUUCUCACGCUCCAAAGAGAAAACGAGACACUCACAGCCAAGGUAAAAAUCCACGAUUCCAACAUGGAUUGUCUACUCAGGGAAAACAGGGUGACGAAGGAGUCGCUACUAGACAUACAAAGUUGUAGCAUGUGUGAAUACAUUUUUUUCUGGGAUUCCUGAGGACGCAUCCAAUAAUCCAGAGGGCGCGAUCAGAGAAUUCAUGCAGUCCGCCUUGAAACUUCCAAUAGAGACUAUAAACAAGGUGGCUUUCCACUGAGUACACAGACUUGGAGCUCGGAGCGACAAGACCAAGGGUCCCCGACCGAUCAUCGCAAAAUUCGAACACCACCAACAAAAGGAGCUGAUCAAAUGCAGAGGAAGGGAGCUUAAAGGGACCAAAGUCUGUCUCAAUGACCAAUUUCCAAGGGAGAUAAACGAACGUCGUAAGAGACUGUAUCCGGUACAAAGACAACGAAGGGAGAAUGGUGUUUGUGUGCGUUUUAAUUAUAGUGGUCAUCAUCUGCAGCAAGCUGUGGUCUACAGUCUCCUGGUUUGUCCAGUUCAAGCGAAUCUUCACCACCUGCUUUCUCAUCGGUCUGGUGUGGAUUUGCUUCUUUCUCUACGAGAUUGCCUUUGCUGUCGAUGCGAAAUGCACCGGGAGAAAGAAAAUUGACUGGUGGGAUAACUUAAACGAUUGGUACAGAUGUGCCAUGACUCUCCAGGAAGAUCUCUGUAAGAUGUACUACGUAGUCCUCAAGGUCAACAAUCCUUCUCGUACCCCAAGCUAAGGCAAUCACUGACCAUCACCAACCUCUUCACGGAAACCCAGAAGCACUUUGGCCAGAGGAUCAGCGAGUUGCUCGUAGCCCUCAAGGACCUACCGGUCACACGGCAGAUCCCUGUGCUUUCCAUCCUGGUGCGCGCGCACACACUUGAAACGCUGUCACAAGGGCUGGGGUGUUUAUGUACUGUAGCUGGCACGGCAUUAGGGGCUGCUGCGCUCUGAGAGGUACAACUCACUGGCAGGGGGGGGGGCCCUCAAUGCUCCCCUCCCAGAUACGUGGAGACCCUGAGGAACGACGACUGGCUGUUUAGCAACGUCCAGGAAGAGAUACAACUGGUUCUCGUUGUAGCUGGAGCCACAACUGAAGGCAAUGACUCACAAGAAGCUAAACCCUCUCAAGCUAAAGCCAAACCCAAUGAGUCGGACGUGAUGUCUGAAUCUAAGGUGGCUACUGACGGGGAGUCUAACCAGCUCAUCAACUACACAAGGGAGUAAUAUGCUGGAGAAGUCAUCAGAAGAUUUCAUCCAUCUCAGGGCAGCAUGGUGAAACUGAUGGUGUCUGUACAAGAGACUGAACCAACGUCGCAAGCACUAUAGACGAUGUUCUUGUCAUUGACAGCAGUGCGAAAUCUCAAAUCUGUGAGUUGGAUGCCUUAAGCCAUUUUUGAAGAUGCAAUUUAUCAAGAGAAUAAAGAAUACUUUUUAUUUCAUUUUUUGAAAAUGUUUAUCAGUUUACAAUGUAGGCCGUAGUGAUUUUUAUCUGUAAAAAAAGCAGUUUGUUUACCUGUCUUACAUUUUUUUGGGGGGGGGGAGAAAGACCAGCUUUAAUAUUGUGUGUAGAUGGUAGCUUCCAAUGUAAUCAUCUGCAUCAUUUCCAAUCCCCCGUGUGCGUGCGUGCAUACAUACAUACAUACAUACAUACAUAGUUCCAGUGCUUGUCUUAUCUCCAAUAUAUCUUACAUGUAAAAUAAACCUGGCUGAUUUAGGAUGAGUAAUAUCUGACAAUACUUUUUUUAAUUCUAUGCGCUAUGCAUUGGGAGUUUCUCCCAUUCUUCUCUGCAGAUCCUCUCAAGCUCUGUCAGGUUUGAUGGGGAGCAUUGCUGCACAGCUAUUUUCAGGUCUCUCCAGAGAUGUUAGAAUAAGGCUGUAACAAAAUGUUGAAAAUGCCAAAGGGGUCUGAAUACUUUCCGAAUGCGCUAAGUCCCAUGACAUUAUUUUGUAGUAAGAAGAAUAUUAUUGAACUUAGCUGAAUAAAAUAGAAUGGGAAAAAUAUGUUGCGUGUUAAAGUGAUCACUUGAUACAGGGUCCUAUAUCCUAGAUUUCUAGUUAUUUGGCAACUUUAGUUGUCAAUAAUACAUACCUUAAUGUCGUAGAAAUCAAAACAUAUAUGGGCUGCGUGAUGGAACUUUAGACUCUUGAUGAUUUGAGGAAGCUUGUGCGCUGUUCCUUGCUUCAGGCUGCACAGCUGUUGUCUCAUGAAGUGAUCAUAUUUUCAAGACGUCAUCCAUAUGCACUCGAAUAGAGGCUGCAUGCUUUCCUGUCGGAACGUUUUUCAAUGAUGCUUAGCAGGCUACUUAAGGUUUAUAGUGGAUGUGCUUAAUGAAUAUGAGAAGCUGAGAAAUAAAUAUAACACUUUCACGCCACGUAUCGACCAGUGUUUGAGGAGCAUGCUCUCCUUGCGCGGCAGGUGAUAUUCUGCCCAAACGCUGUAUGCCAUGGGCUCUCCAACCCUGUUCCUGCAACUACCUAGUGCUUAAUAUGGGGAACAAAGUGAAAUCUGUUCUGGAACAUCGACUGUAACGUUUUCUCAAACAUAUUUCCCUAAACUGUUGACCGCCCCUUUGCACGCUCAAAAAAUGAAUAGAGGAGAUGGAAACACAUGGUGGUGAGAUAUUCUGUAUAGCUAAGGGUAAUGUCACCCAAUUUAAUCAUGAAAAUAUAAAAAAUGCUCUAUUACUAUGCUAUUCAAAAUCAAAUUCACUACAAUUGUAGGCUACCUGUAAGCCACCCUUGCACAAUCAAUGAACCAAAAGCAUUGCCUAGGGCUAUACGUUCUCUCCCAGACUUGUGGAUAGAAAUUUUGGACGUUAGGUCAUCUUAGGUAAUUUUCCAAGCCUAUGAGUAUGCAUAAGAUCUAAUAUGCAUUUUGGUGUUUUCAAUUAAUCAUAACUUUAGAAAGUGCUGUCCAUUUUGUUGUGUUAAACUUUGAAAUAACAUCCACAAAGACCAUGUUUUACACUCAGUUUCAACCUGCUGUUGAACUUUCUUCAAAUUGAUCAUCACAGUGAGGUGAGUUUUAAAAGCAUGAUACUGUUUUGAUAAGUGUUUGAAGUAAUUUUCGAUUGUGUUGACGUCAGAGUGGUUAGAGAGACAAUAGAGCCCUGUGUACCAGGCCAUUAGGACCUAAAGACUGUUAGCAAGUUAGGUACUACCAAAGCAUGUCCAGAGUGCAUUUGAAGAGAUUACCGUGACUCAAAAGCCACAUGGAAUUUUACUGCCGACAUGACUCAUGACUGCCGGUGUGGCAGUGAAAAGGUCACCGCAACAGCCCAAAGGGUGUUCCCACAUGCCAAAAUGCAAGUCUUCCAUUAGGAAAUGCCAUAGAACAGUGCGAAAGAGGUAGCCAUACCUCUACCUUCCGGCCUGUAACCCUUGAUAUUAUAUUUUGCAAUACAAGAGCCUCCACUAUCCAAAGAUGGCCAUUAAUGAGGUAGGGGGCCUCCCUUUGCAGGGAGGUGCCCAAAAACGCAGGGGUCAUUGCCACUCACAGGCGUUAAAGUUUUCAGUCACUGUGACUGAUGCUGGACACAUGGUGGAGACGCUCUACUAUAUGGUAAGAGCAGCGAGUGUAACUAUAAGCUUCAGGGCACGACAACACAGCUGCCGCUGACCUUAGACGUAGGGUUUGGGUGCCAAGGUAACGAGGAGGACCCCAGGGCAAACUGAAGGCACAAACGGUGGACACGAAUGGCGCACGCUGCCCACUCACUCGCUUUGCAGGCAUUGGGUAGAUGGGCAAAAACGGGCUAGAAAGAGAAAUAUUACAUCUCCCUGCUUUCCAGCGGCACAAAGGCAACCAGAUGAAAGCCCCAAGCACCAUAGACUGUCCCAUGUUACAGGCUAAAGGCUUGGAGACUGAUUUUUGCGUAAGCAAUGCGCACCCUCAAAACGACACGAGGUUGUUACCCUACUGUAACUGUCAAGGCCUUUGUAACAGGUGAGAUAUAGUAGCAGUUAAUCCAAUGUACCAUUGGAUUUGUCUAUUUCUUCUGCAUCCGUAGAUCGACCAUCCAUUUGUGUGAUUAACGGGGGCUAGGCUAGAUCGGCAGCUCGGGGCCAGGUCUUUUUACAAAAUCUACUGUCUAGUCCGAAUGGUUUGAGCUACAAACUAUUGCAAGCUAUAUGUGAAAAGCUGAGACUCUCUCAAAAACGCACGUUUUGCUCUAUGACGCUCACAACCUACACAAGAGUCAUUAGAUGGUAAGGGGUUCUUCUACAUGGAAGAUCAUAGGACAUCCCUUGACAUAGUGUUGAUAAUACUGUAAUAAGCUCACCGUUUCUAUCACAAACUCAACUCUCUACACUGAUUAGUUGGAUAUUCAUUUCCCAGUGAGCAAACAAUUUCUGCACUUAUUUCUGCUUUGUCUGACCUUAUUUUGUUAUUGAUAUUUGUCAAAAGCCAUGAAUGAAAAUGUUUUUCAAAUUGUUUUAUGUUCUACUUGUAGCCCUGGUUGUCCUGAAAGGUAAAUGGUAAAACACUUAAUUGUGAGGCUAAAUGUAAGGGCUGGACAUGCAGAUAAAUGAAAGUCUGUUAAUUGAAAAGCCUAUUUUUACUCAGGUCUCAGGACUGAAAGGGUUAAAGGAAGAAGGAAACAUGCUGGUAACCCAGAUGUCCUAAUCCUACAACAUAGAUAAAUUAUGUGUCUGGUCUGUCUUGGCCCUAUCCCGGAGGGGAGGGCUAACAAGAGCAAACGUUUCCUUAGUGAGUCAUUCCCAAAGGGAAAGUAGACAAGUGCCCGACUGCAUGAACCAAGCGCAUAUAGGAACGGGAUAAGGAAAAAACACCAGAGCGUGGUGGACUUGGUGUACCAGUCUGGGGCUCAGGUGCUCAGCAAACGACCAGAAAGUACAAGUAAUGGAAUACUGUCCUAAAGCUCGACUUUCCAAUAUUAAUAUAACCAAGUUGCUAUAAGAUUUCCCCCAAAAGAUCCUGAGAAACCCUGUGUGUUACGGCAAUCUCUGAAGUGAAUCCUGGAAACCUGUCUCCCCGUUUAUCGUAUGAAAACUGAUAAUUGUGUCAGGUUUCUUCCCUGCCUCGACCCACAUAGAUUGAUGAUUCUUCCUGGUUGUAGUACCGAGGAGGUUCCCAUGUGACCCUGUUAAACUGUGUUGCUAACGCAAUAGACAUUUAGAGGGACUAAUGCCUUAAAGCAAGGGAAAUGGGUAAGCCAUGGUCAUGGCAAAUGGCAAUGUCAUCCAGCUCUAAGUCAGAAGAGACCAGAGGGAGAGCAGACAUGCUGACUGUCCUCCUGGCUUAAAACCUGAAAAGGUGGAGAGGGGAUAGCCGAAGGGGGGAUGGAGUACACAUCCCUCAUUUUCCCAUGUUAGCGAAGACACAAAAAAGCGCUGCUACUCAGGGAAUCCAACGGGGAGUGCCUCCCCAAUGAUGCGGAGGGACGGCUUACAUUAAACCCGAGCGAGAGAGAGGAUAGGGCAAGGACCCGGAGGCUUUGCCCGUUAUCCUCCUCUGACGCAUAGGGCUGUGCCCAAAUGUCGGCUGACCGUAGCAAAGGACUGUUUAACUCCAGGUUUGCCUUGGUUCAGGGGCUUGGCCUUGGCCUGAGUCACCAUCAGUCUUGGGUCCCCAAAGCCAGCUUGUUGCCCCCUCCCUGCUGUGAGGCUAGAGAAAGUUGCAGUGACCAAUGGGCUGCCAUGGGGCCCCGGUUCACGGGGAAGGCAGAAGUUGAAGGCUUCUUUCUUCUUCUUUCAAUAUAUUGUCUGAUCGUAUCAGGACAUGUUUGAGAACCUGCAAAAAGUGUUAGGUAAACUCUCUGGGCUAGGUAAAUUCUCUGAAGUUCUAUUACGUUGAUGUGUUCUUUCCUCCAGCGGGGGGCCCCACUCUUCAAGUACAGACCUGUAUUGCCACACUACUCCCCAGCCUGUUAGCGAAGCAUCGGUUGUGACUACUUCCCGCCUUGCUAAAAUUGAUCAGAGAGGAAUACCUGUAGUCAAGUAGUUUCUCUUCCUCCAUGGCCGUGGAGUAGACUAGCACACCCUUGUCACUCAGAUUUUGGUGUCUCGAGUCCAAGCGGAGGUCGUUGAACCACACUGUAGUGGUCUUAAAGACAGGAGGCCAAACAGUGUCACUGCGGAGGCCACUGCGAGCAUGCCCAUAAUUUGUUGCAAUUUUCAUACUUUCACCAAAACGUUCAACUGGAAUUGUUGCAGAAGAAGAAGAAUGCUGUCCGCCUGAUGAGGGGUUAUACAUGCCCUCAUAAUAUGGGAGUUCAGAGUCAUGCCAAUAAAGGUGGCCUUCUGGCCUGGUGUUUAGUUGCUUUUUUUCAUUGUUCAUGGUAAGACACUUUGCAUUGACAUGGGUCAUUGUGUGAGUGCUAUGCUCUCGGCCGCACACUUGCGAGAGGGGGCAUAGAUUGAGUCAGUCAUCAAGGUAAGGAAGGUCACUUGUAGAUGGAGGAAGCUCAGGGCUGCAAUCACACAUCUUGUGAAGACACAAGGAGCCAGGGAGAGGCCAAAGGGUAAUACCGCAAACUGGUAUGCCUGGCCUUGGAAGGCAAACCGCAAAAAACUUCUGUGUUCCAGUAAGACCGGAACUUGAAACUAAGAGUCCUUUAAGUCCAGGGACGUGAACCAUUCCCCCGCAGCUACGGUCUGUAGAAUGUCUACCAUCCACAACAUGUGAAAGAGAUGAAAUUUUAGGAAAACAUUGAACAGUUUUAAAUCCAGAACUGGACGGGAGCCUCAGUCUUUCUUCAGAACCCGGAAAUAGGUUUAGUAAAAGCCAUCUUGCUGUUACGAUGCUUUUACUCUUGUGAUUGCGUUCUUCUCCAGGAGAGAUGUAAUCUCCUGGCUGAGGGUGCAGGCUUUCAGGGGGUCUGUGACUGAAGUAAUUCUGACCCCUAAGAAUGGUGGGGGUCUGCGUCGGAACUGCAGCCUGUACCCUUGUGAGAGGGUCAUCACCACCCAUGGGUCUGAGGAGUGAGAUGCCCAGUAGGUCAGGUGCUGCUGUGUAAAUUGUCCGAAGGCCAACCACCGCCAUUCAGUUUCUGCCCCCGCAUCUGAUUGUGGGGGUGGCUGCAUCACCAUCUGCAGCAAUGUUCACGUGCGCCUGUCUUCCCAUGACUCUGUGAUGCCUGGUUUCUGGGUUCCACAGCCACGUAGUCUGACUCAGCUGUUGGACAUGGGGGCUUGGGCGAGCCAGACCUGGUGACGAGUCACAACUAGGGUGGAUAUCAGUCUGCCUAGCUCUCUGGACAUGAACGCAAACACUUGAAGAGCCUUCCCUGUAGCUCAGUUGGUAGAGCAUGGUGUUUGCAACGCCAGGGUUGUGGGUUCGAUUCCCACGGGGGGCCAGCACAAAAAGAAAAAAAAUGUAUGAAAUGUAUGCAUUCACUACUGUAAGUCGCUCUGGAUAAGAGCGUCUGCUAAAUGACUAAAAUGUAAAUGUAAGAGAUGCAUCAUUCAGGUUGCAGAGGUCCAGGACUGUGUGCUCCAGCCGGAACAUCUUGUUCUGUGCUAGCAUGAGCAUUGAGAGAGAAUUCCCCAUGUGGCCCACUUUGUUGUAGGCCUGUGACAGUAGUUCAUCAGUGGCCCUGCACUGAGGUCUGGGGUAGCGGGAGUCAUCCUUCAGGGCUUCAUCUGGGGAGAGCAUCAGCUCUGCUAUGCAUAUAUCCACCUUAGGGAUAUGGUCCAGCCCAUGUUGUUUUGCGCCGAACAUGGCGGAUAGCCUCCUUCUUUCCUUGCCGUGGUGGGCGAGGGCACACAGGUCGGCCCAGCAUCGCUGAAGCUCCGUAAGAAAACCUGGUGAAGGUGGCAGUGGCACACAGAAUGCUGUAGCUCCCGGGGCCUUCUUAAAUAACAGGUUAGCUGCAGGGGCUAUGGCUUGCUACACGCAGAACAGGGCGCCAUCGGUAUCGUAGGCUUUCCCUCUUUUGGUGGCCCUGGGUGGGUCCCGGUGAACAAAGCCGGAUGCUGGUAAAUUAUCUGUGAAAACCAGGUCCUCAACUCUGGCCAGCCGCUCUUCCCUCACCUUCACAGGCAGGAUGGCGCAGUUAAUGCAGGGGUCAGAGAGGGCCUCUUGCAGGCUGCCAACACCUAGGCAGGCAGGGCACAGGUCAUGGCCAUCUUUUUCUUGUUGUUCAUCUCCACAAGUGGAGUAGCCAUGUAUGCCCAGCAUCAUGUUGGUGUGAUGUUCUCUCAACUCAGAAUGUGAAGAAGAAAAAAAAGAAUACCAGUCAAAAGUUUGGACACACCUAGGCA